AGGACUUGUCAGGCGUCAGCUGACCAUCGUACAUCAUUGUCAACGAUUCGUAUAAGGAACUGUUGUGAGUAGCUCACCGUGUCCCACUUAGCCAUCAUGCGUUCCUUCUCGAAGCGUGCGAACUCUCUCCUGUCGUGUAUGGUGGUGACCAUCUUCCACAGCAUCAGCAGCGCCAGCCCCACCAGCACGAUGGC